rnacentral:rRNA from 1 species
GAUGAACGCUAGCUACAGGCUUAACACAUGCAAGUCGCGGGACCGGCGCACGGGUGAGUAACGCGUAUCCAACCUGCCCUUCACCACGGGAUCACCCGGCGCAAGUCGGACUAAUACCGUAUGGAGAAGGGUGGGGAGGCGGCCGAUUAGCUUGGCGGCGGGGUAACGGCCCACCGUGGCUACGAUCGGUAGGGGUUCUGAGAGGAAGGUCCCCCACACUGGAACUGAGACACGGUGCAGACGCCGAGGGGAGGAAGCAGUGAGGAAUAUUGGGCAAUGGGCGUAAGCCUGAACCAGCCAAGUAGCGUGCAGGACGACGGCCUAUGGGUUGUAAACUGCUUUUAUGCGGGGAUAGGUACCGCAUGAAUAAGGACCGGCUAAUUCCGUGCCAGCAGCCGCGGUAAUAC